rnacentral:rRNA from 1 species
ACACGCAUGACACACUGCAUAUCAAUAAGCGGAGGAAAAGAAACUAACAAGGAUUCCCCUAGUAACGGCGAGUGAAGCGGGAAGAGCUCAAAUUUGAAAUCUUCAAGGUUUCCCUUGACGAAUUGUAGUUUAUAGAAGUGUUUUCUGUUAGUAGAGUGGCAAAAGUUCUUUGGAAUAGGACAUCAUAGAGGGUGAGAAUCCCGUACUUGGUCAUUCUUUCUAGCUUUGUGAUACACUUUCAACGAGUCGGAUUGUUUGGGAAUGCAGUCCAAAAUGGGUGGUAAAUUUCAUCUAAAGCUAAAUAUUGGCGAGAGACCGAUAGCGAACAAGUACCGUGAGGGAAAGAUGAAAAGAACUUUGAAAAGAGAGUUAAACAGUACGUGAAAUUGUCAAAAGGGAAGCGUUUGACACCAGUGUUGUUUUUCCGAAAAUCAAUUACGAAUGUUUUAGUUUUUGAGAAGUUAUGACUUCAUCGGCUUGCUUCUCUCUUUAUGAAACUUUCUUAAUGCACUUUUCGGUUAACAAGUCAACAUCAAUUUCUUUUGUUGUAAAAGGGUAUGAGGAAGGUGGCUUUCUUUUCGGAGAAAGUGUUUAUAGCCUUGUACCUCUGCAAUCGGAGAGAUUGAGGUCUGCAGCGUAGAUCCUUCGGGGUUAGAUACAUUUGUGCUAAGUUAUAGCUUUUCAUAGACAACUUGUUGACUAUGUUUAGUCUUGUAGCUUACUCGCUUAUGCUAUUUUACCUACGCUUAGGAUGUUGAAGACUCUACAGAGAUA